rnacentral:rRNA from 1 species
CCUACGGGUGGCAGCAGUGGGGAAUAUUGGACAAUGGGCGAAAGCCUGAUCCAGCCAUGCCGCGUGUGUGAAGAAGGCCUUCGGGUUGUAAAGCACUUUCAGUGGGGAAGAAAGCCUUGGGGCUAAUACCCUCGAGGAAGGACAUCACCCACAGAAGAAGCACCGGCUAACUCCGUGCCAGCAGCCGCGGUAAUACGGAGGGUGCGAGCGUUAAUCGGAAUUACUGGGCGUAAAGCGCGCGUAGGCGGUCUGAUAAGCCGGUUGUGAAAGCCCCGGGCUCAACCUGGGAACGGCAUCCGGAACUGUCAGGCUAGAGUGCAGUAGAGGAAGGUAGAAUUCCCGGUGUAGCGGUGAAAUGCGUAGAGAUCGGGAGGAAUACCAGUGGCGAAGGCGGCCUUCUGGACUGACACUGACGCUGAGGUGCGAAAGCGUGGGUAGCAAACAGGAUUAGAUACCCCGGUAGUC